UAUCACGUUGAAACACCGGUUCUCGUGAGAUCACUGAAGUUAAGCAAUAUCAAGCCUGGUCAGUACCUAGAUGGGUGAACACUUGGGAAUACACGGACUGUA